UCAACAUUUGAUAUGUUAUCUACAUUCUAUUGUGAAUAAAAUAUAGGUUUAUGAGAUUAGUAAAUUAUUCCAUUCCUUUUUUCUCACAAUUUGUACAGUGUCCCAACUUUUUUGGAAUCGGGUUUGUAUAUAUACAGGACAUUUUAGAGCUGGAGAAACUGGAGGUGCUUCCUUCUCUCAUAGAACUGUCUGUAAUGAGCAACCCAGUGAGUCACACACACACUAGAUGAAAAGUUUUCAAAUUGAGCUCUUGGCUGAACUACAAACUAACCAUUAUCACACACACACACACACACACACACACACACACACACCCACACACACACACACACACACACACACACACACACAGUAUAACACUUAAUGGCUUCUCUGGUUCUGAAUAAAUACAGUAUGUUCUGUCCUCUUUACCUGGCUGAAUAUCCUUUUAAUAAGAGAUAUUCUGCACUACGACAUACCAAGCAUGUGUGUUACAGGUGGCACGGCGAUUACUGCACAGACAAGCAGUGGUACUGCAUUUGUCUACACUGCAGGUUCUGGAUGGCAUGACAGUCACCCUUGAAGAAAGAACUAGAGCAGAGCUUUUAAAUAAUGAAGCACAGGUAGCUCAUGCUUACUAUCCAGAUCAAAUGAAUGGAUCAAAUAGAACUUAUACUGCAGAUACAAUUACCUUGUGCAUGUGUAUAGGGUUCUGCAGUAGUUUAGGAGGUGAAAUGACUUUACCCAGUUUGGUACCAUUGGUGACCCGACCAGCUCCUUUAAGAGUGACAUCAACUUCAGGCAGAUCCAGCCACUACAUGACAGCCCUGCAGCAGAUCGGAUAUAGAGUUCUCUCCACUUUCCCUGACGCCGAUCCUGAGACCAGGUCUGAAUAUACACACAUAUACACAUACAUUAUAGAUCUUUAUGUGAUGUUGAAGCGUAAGAGGGUGUAUUAACCCUCAUGUUGUGUUCAGGAGAGGAUUUUCUUUUCCUGAAACUGCUAAUUAAUAUUAUUCCAUUGGACUAAAACUUACUGACUUUGCUCACACAGGGUAUAACAACUUCCCAAAAACACAACUUCUUGUUAUUUUUUUGCCUUUAUUUUAUCAUUUUAGAACUGAUUGGCCCCAGGCCUCACUGAUCUGAGCUUAUGCACCUCCGAUGUUAAGUGAAUAUUGCCAAAAUUAUUCAAAGAUAAUGCUUUUUUACUCAAAAACUGAGAUGCAUAAGCUCCAAUCAGUGAGGCCUAUGACCAGGCAGUUCCAAAAAGAAACACAAAACCUGUGCUAAUUGAAAGAAAACAAGUUGACAAAAAGAUUCAAUCCAAGUUUAAGGUUUGGUGAUAAUAUAGCAUAAUUUACAGUUUUACGAUUUAUAAGCAUUUUUUAAAUGGUUGGUCAUUUUUGACUGGGAACACCAAAUUAGGAUUUUUAGCACAGCACAAGGGGUAAUCUUGAUAUUCUCCACAGGUAGCAGUGUCACAGUGUACCCAGACCUUCUCCUCCUCUCUAAAGCAGAGUCAUAGACGCACUGUGUGAGUCGUGUAUUUUAGCUUUGGUCUUGUGUGUUGUUGUUCAUCUUUGGAUCUUAAAUAGGACAUCAAUGAACAGUUUGUUUAUUUAUUUGGAAUUGUGUCAGUGUCAAAGAUAUUACAUGUAUAUUUUCUAUUAAAUUCUAUUCAACUAUUCAAGAGUGGUGUCCUUUAUCUUAAGUCUUUGUUCAUGUAUCAUUUUCACUCUCUGUGAGGUUUGGUUUUAUUUUUAAUUGUAUUUGAUAGUUAUGAAGUCACUUCAAAUAUAAAAGUUCAUAAAAAACAUAUGUCAAAAACAUUUUUCUUGAAAACUGUAGUUGCU
ensembl:lncRNA